rnacentral:tRNA from 1 species
GCCUGGGUGGCUCAGUGGAUUAAGUGUCUGACUUUGGCUCAGGUCAUGAUCUCACAGUUUGUGGGUUCAGCCCCCACUUUGGGCU